GACGAACGCUGGCGGCGUGCUUAACACAUGCAAGUCGAGCGGUAAGGCCCGUUUCGGGGGUACACGAGCGGCGAACGGGUGAGUAACACGUGGGUGACCUGCCCUCAGCUCUGGGAUAAGCCUGGGAAACCGGGUCUAAUACUGGAUAUGACUCCAUGACGCAUGUUGUGGGGUGGAAAGCCUUGUGCGGCUGAGGAUGGGCCCGCGGCCUAUCAGCUUGUUGGUGGGGUGANGGCCUACCAAGGCGACGACGGGUAGCCGGCCUGAGAGGGCGACCGGCCACACUGGGACUGAGACACGGCCCAGACUCCUACGGGAGGCAGCGGUGGGGAAUCUUGCGCAAUGGGCGAAAGCCUGACGCAGCGACGCCGCGUGAGGGAUGACGGCCUGGUU
rnacentral:rRNA from 1 species